CAGGUCAUGGUCAGUGGGACCUCCAAAGGAGGCACCCCAUUCAAAUUGGAGGCUCUGCAGGAGAGGGCAGCCAGGGCGCAGAGUUCGAAGGCACUCUUGGGGGAGGAGAAGGUGCUGGUGGUGGACAACAUCAUGGCAUGGUCCAGGUGGUGGUUGAGGAGAAGCCUGACAUGGAGCCUGGUGGAGGACCAGCAGACAGCCUGGCCCUGGAUCCAGCACACCCCAGCCAGCCACAGACUCGCUGGAGGCCCUUCACUUGAAGCAGAGUUCCAUGAAUAACCAGUCCACAUGGCCUGCCCACAGCUGAGAUGUAAGCUUUGGCAGAGGUGCCUUCCCAGCCUGGAUGGCACAGGGGCCAUCAGCCAGGGCAUCUCCAGCUUCUGGGCCUCAGCCCAGAUAGAUGAAAUGGAUCCUUUGAGUCUGUCCUCUUCUUCUUGGCAUGGCAGGUGGAGGAACUCAGCCAUCCCAGGUACCGGCAGCAGGAUGAAGUGUUCCUUUUGUCACAACCUUUAUUUCCACAAUAAAGUGAUCAUUAAGGAAUAUCGUGUUCACAUCAAUCCCCUGCAGCACUACCUAAGGAUUAGGUCCUCAGAGAGGGAACAGAG
rnacentral:lncRNA from 1 species